rnacentral:lncRNA from 1 species
CAGAUGACGCUGUAAUUGAAGCAUACAAGCUCCCAGACAUGGAAGACAUGGGAAAAGGCAAUGCACAAGGGACAAGAACAGCAGAUGGAGUAGUAGGUUCUUCCUGUCUAACAAUCUCCCCUUGGCUUACAUCAUCCACAGGAAACCCCUCAUUCAAAUCAAAGUCCAGUUUUACUGCAGUAUCGGACCCAGAAUCUGUAAGGGACGGAUUAACAUUGGAUGUAUGCUGUUCAAGCACAGCCUCAGAUUCAUUUCCAUCUAAGUUACACUCUGAUGUUUCGGGGACUUCAUUCUCUUUCCCAGGAAAUGUUGGCAACUCGGGAUGACCUGAUAAGCCAGAACAGUGACCAAGAACCUCCUUUGUACCCAAAUUCUCUUCAACAUGUCCAUUGGUGCCAGCUGAAACAACUGAGUCCAGAUCCAUUGGUUUUUUGUCAGACUCAAUCUCGUCUGACUUCAAGUCAUCACUAUUGUCAUCCCUGGAUGCCAUUGAAGCAUUGCCAGCAGCAGUAGCUAGCUUGACAUCCUCCAUUUUCAAAUUUAUAGGCUCACCGUUUUCUGCAAGUGGAGAGGGCUUUUGCACUGCUAUGCCAGUAACUCUCACUUUCUCUGCAAUAAUCUGAUUCUCAUUACCAACAUCUGAUGAUAACUUAGAUGAUUUUUCAUCUACUUCCUUAUCGACAUUUACACAUGCAGGGACUUCCUUUGAAACCAAUAUUUUCUCAUUCUCUGUGAUUCUUUCAUCCACUUGAUCAUCUUUCUUAUCUACAUCAAAAGAGGAAUUUAGUGAUUUUAAUUUAGAGUCUGAACUACUGCUGCCUUUAGCCCAUUGACUUCCUAAUUCCUUCUGGACAUUUAAAAGGUUUGCUCCUCCAGGCUCCACAUCAGUCUCCUUCAUAGCUGGCAAUGCAGUUCCAGAAGCACCCUCUUUGAUUUCGGGCAGUAAGCAUGGACCUUCAGCGUUCUGCAACAAAUCUGUAGUGGAUAAAUUCAUUUGAGUUCUGCCAUCACCAGUGUUUUCAAGACAACUGGAUGACAUGGCUUCGCCAUCUCCAGAACCAUUGUGUGACACCAUCGUAACAGGAUGCCUCGAAUCAUUAUUAAAUUGCAAUGGGUCAACAGUCUCCAAAUAAUGCUCUCCAGUAGCCCCUCCAUCAGAUUGUGCAAGGGUACAACCAACUCCUCCACCAGAAUGUUUUGUUUUGCAAUCACUGCCGGAGCUUGAUACAUCUGCUGCAGGAGACUUCCUCUCAGGUGAAGAGGGUGGUAAAACAUUUUUGGAUCUAGAUAUUUCCCCUGCAGCCACAGUGGCAAGUAGGUUCAUCCCAUCAUCACCAGGGAAAGUAGAAGCACUUGCUUCUGAAAUUUUCACGCAGCUUUCAACCAAUGCAUUCAUGGGACUUAAGGAAGCAUCAUAAAUCUGCCCUGAUCUGGAAACAAAUCCCGAUGAGGAACUAGUGGGCUUCGAUGUUUCAGGUACUUUAUCACCAUCUUCACUAGCCACGCACCGCUCAUCACCAAUCGGGGAACGGCCCUCUGUAGAAUUCAUUACCAAAUGGUGUGCUACCUGUAGGAACCAUGAUCCGCUGUGCACUAGCACCAGCAAUAUAACUCUGAUCCCCUCUGCCAGGCAGAAGAGGCGGGACAGUAAUUGCUGAAUAAGAAUUGGCUGGAGGAAACCAUGAAGAAUAGCUACCAUAUUCAGGGUUAUUUGUUCUUGAGCCAUGAACAGCGGAAGGAAAUGGUAUGGGGCUUUUAAUCUGCUGACAACGAGCUGGGACUUCAGUGCUCACUUCAUCAAGGCCUGGUCCAUUAUUUAAAUCAAAGUCUCUUGAGACACUUCCACCAUUAGAUAUCCCACCUGACAAUGAAGGCUUACUAGAUAAAGAAGGAAUAUCCAGUUUGCCCACGGAGAAAGACCCAGCUUCAGGAGUCUCAUCAACUCUGUUUAAAUCAAGAUCAAAUCCCACUGCGCUGCGAUCGUGUGGCUGAGAUUCUAAAGAACCACGGGAAGCUACAUCAUCAAAACUGACUUCAUCUGCCACAUUUAAAUCAAAAUCUAAAAGAGGGCGGGGUUGUUUGAUAGGAGUGGCAUCAACAGAAGGAAUACCACUCGUAUUUGAUGGUGCCUCUGCAUUUUUCCUAGGUUCAGCUGGCCGGAAUGCACUUGUAGCUGCUGAUCCCUUCCAUCCGAGUUCCCCCUUAUUCCACAUUGGGCUUUCUGAUGGAACAACAGGCCCCUUGGCAGCAGAUGACGCUGUAAUUGAAGCAUACAAGCUCCCAGACAUGGAAGACAUGGGAAAAGGCAAUGCACAAGGGACAAGAACAGCAGAUGGAGUAGUAGGUUCUUCCUGUCUAACAAUCUCCCCUUGGCUUACAUCAUCCACAGGAAACCCCUCAUUCAAAUCAAAGUCCAGUUUUACUGCAGUAUCGGACCCAGAAUCUGUAAGGGACGGAUUAACAUUGGAUGUAUG